CAGGAGAACCAGAAUGUCACUGUGGCCCUCUAGUCAGAGCAGGAGCUUAUAAAGGUCAGGUGAUCAAUGGAGUUUUAGCUCAAGUCCAUGUGACCCUUUCUUAAAAGUCCCAUUAUGCAUGUUUCCUGAAUCAAAAAAACAUUCACUCACAUUUACAUUUCUUUUUGGAAAGUUUUAAAAACCUUUUGAAGGUGCUUGCAAAAUGCUUUUUAUAGUUUGAAGGUACUUACAAAAUAGGAGGAUGGAAUUUCCAGUCCACCCUUGCAUGACCUGAGCAGGAAUUUGAGUUCACCCCUGUGUGAUCUGAGAGUUGGCAGAAGGAAGGGGAGAGUACCUCUCUCACUCUGGGCAAGGCUGGGGCUCCUGUCUUAGUUUGGACUGCUGGAACAGAAUACCAUAGACGGAGUGGCUUAGAAACAGCAGACAUGUACUUCUCACAGUUCUGGAGGCUGGAAAUCCAAGAUCAAG
rnacentral:lncRNA from 1 species